GACGAACGCUGGCGGCGCGCCUAACACAUGCAAGUCGAACGGAGGCACGAGGAGCUUGCUUUUCUUGACUUAGCGGCGAACGGGUGAGUAACGCGUGAGUAACCUGCCCUGGAGUGGGGGACAACAGCUGGAAACGACUGCUAAUACCGCAUAAGCCCACGGAUCUGCAUGGACCUGCGGGAAAAGGAUUUAUUCGCUCUAGGAUGGACUCGCGUCCACUUAGCUAGUUGGCGAGGUAACGGCCCACCAAGGCGACGAUUGGUAGCCGGACUGAGAGGUUGAGCGGCCACAUUGGGACUGAGACACGGCCCGGACUCCUACGGGAGGCAGCAGUGGGGGAUGUUGCACAGUGGGGGAAACCCUGAUGCAGCGACGCCGCGUGGAGGAAGAAGGUUUUCGGAUUGUAAACUCCUGUCGUGAGGGACGAUAAUGACGGUACCUAACAAGAAAGCACCAGCUAACUACGUG
rnacentral:rRNA from 1 species